GGGGAUGAUCGGUUUCGACAUUGCCUGCGAAAUCGCGAGAAGCGGGUCGAGGAUGCAGGGUUAUCUCGUAAACGAUCUCUGCAAAAAAUAAGUGCCAACGUAAAGCGCACUGACUUCGCUCUUGCUGCCUAGCAGCAACUAGCCCAUGAAGUCCGUCAGUCCGGGAAUGCUCUCUACUCGGUGCCUGGCGUUAUCUAGAGAGAUUGCUGCGUAGUUACGCUUGAGGGCUGCGCGGGACUUGCACUCUGGCUGGGCUUGUUGACCUGGAUGCUCGUGGCAAAGGUCAAAGCCAAGCAAAACGAAUUCACGAGCUACACCCGUAGAAGGCGUGGUCUUACAGCAGUGGACGGGGGUUCAAUUCCCCCCAUCUCCACCA
rnacentral:tmRNA from 1 species